CAAGAAGAGACGAUGUGCUGAAUAUCUGCUUCUGUCACAAGUGGACCUGUAUCUGCAGCCUCACUUUCAGCCUUGCUCACCUCUUUGUUUUUGUCUAUGAGGGCUGUGAUCUGUGCCUUCAGAUCCAUUUCUCUAUCACGUAAUUCCCCAGCCUUUUCGAAAUCUUGACCACGAACAGCUUCAUUCUUCUCCUUUGUUAUCUGACGAAGUUCUUUCUCGAGCUCUUUUGCUUCCUCGGGGAGCUGAGCAUGGCGAAGUCGAACACGAGAACCAGCUUCAUCAAUCAAAUCAAUUGCUUUGUCAGGCAGAAAUCGGUCACUGAUGUACUGGUAUGAGAGCUGAGCAGCAGCCACUAAGGCUUCGUCAGUGUAACGAAGUUUGUGAUGAAUUUCAUACCUCUCACGAAGCCCUUUCAGAAUCUGUAUAGUUUCAUCAACAGUAGGUUCAGGGACCUUAACUGGUUGGAAUCUCCUCUCUAGUGCAGGAUCUUUCUCAAUAUGCUUUCUGUAUUCAUCCAGUGUAGUAGCUCCGAUACACUGUAGUUCACCUCGAGCUAGGGCAGGUUUCAAGAUGUUUGCAGCAUCGAUGGCCCCCUCUGCUGCUCCAGCUCCAAUCAAUGUGUGCACUUCAUCGAUAAAUAGUAUUAUUUCAUCACUCUGCUUAAUUUCCUCCAUCAGCUUUUUUAGCCUUUCCUCAAACUCUCCACGGUAUUUUGUCCCAGCAACAAGCAAUCCCAUAUCAAGAGUUAUCACCUUCUUCCCCUCAAUUGUUUCAGGGACAUCACCAUUUGCAAUUCUUUGUGCCAAACCCUCAGCAAUAGCUGUUUUGCCAACACCUGGUUCACCAAUAAGACAAGGGUUGUUCUUAGUCCGCCGACCCAAGAUUUGAGUGACCCGUUCAAUUUGCGGCUGUCUUCCAACAACGGGGUCCAAUUUUCCCUCUUCCGCCAAUUUUGUCAAAUUUGUUCCAUACUCCUCCAGUGUUGGCAUUUUUUGGCCAGAAGUUCCACCUCCAACGCUAGCACCAACAGCCUCAUUACUCUCACCAACCAUCCGGAUCACCUGAGUGCGGAUGUUGCUGGGGUCAGCACCCAAGUUUUCAAGAACACGGGCAGCCACACCUUCACCUUCACGUAGCAAUCCAAGUAGCAAGUGCUCCGAACCAAUAUAGUUAUGCCCUAGCUGGCGGGCUUCCUCCAGAGAGAGUUCCAGAACACGCUUGGCACGAGGGGUAAAAGGGAUCUCAACAGCAACAAACCCACUACCCCUUCCAAUUAUCUUUUCCACUUCCACACGAGCAUCUUUCAAAUUGAUCCCCAUCGAUUUAAGAACCUUGGCAGCAAUACCAGUUCCCUCACCAAUUAGACCCAACAAGAUCUGCUCAGUGCCAACAAAAUUGUGACCAAGUCGUCUGGCCUCUUCUUGUGCAAGCAUAAUGACUUUUAUCGCCUUCUCUGUGAAGCGCUCAAACAUUGCUUUUGGUACAAAUCGGCAACCUCGUGGCCGUCUGACAUAAGUUGCAGCAGCUACUUUGGAUUGGAGAGUUUGGCCAGAUCUAACUAGUGUAUCUAUUGCAUUGCAUCCUCGCAAUCCUGUAAAAUCCCUCAGUGUAAGUGAAGAUGAUUGUGCAUUGCAUAGCAUUGUAACAGCUCUUUUUGUUUUCCCAGAUCCAUUGAAUUUGGUUGUCCUUUCACCAGCAACUGACGAUGGGAUGCUUGUUGACUGAACUAGAGCUCUAGCCAUGAUGGACCUGAAGUCCCAGAAGAAUCUGGGAGAUUGUUGAAGAAUAUAGAUGGAAAAGGGGAAGAUGGGUUUAGAGGAAAAUGGGAUUAGGGUGACUGGAUUGGAGAAGAGAGGAGAGCGGAUGUGGG
rnacentral:misc_RNA from 1 species